AUUGAACGCUGGCGGCAGGCCUAACACAUGCAAGUCGAGCGGAGCGGCAGACGGGUGAGUAAUGCCUAUGAAUCUGCCUGGUAGUGGGGGAUAACGUCCGGAAACGGGCGCUAAUACCGCAUACUCUCCGAUAAGCCUAGGGGGGAUAAGCUAGUUGGGUGGGUAAAGGCCUACCAAGGCGACGAUCCGUAACUGGUCUGAGAGGAUGAUCAGUCAAACUGGAACUGAGACACGGUCCAGACUCCUACGGGAGGCAGCAGUGGGGAAGAUUGGACAAUGGGCGAAAGCCUGAUCCAGCCAUGCCGCGGGUUUGAAGAAGGUCUUCGGGUUGUAAAGCACUUUAAGCGGGGAGGCGUUACCAACAGAAUAAGCACCGGCUAACUUCGUGCCAGCCGCCGCGGUAAUAC
rnacentral:rRNA from 1 species